rnacentral:rRNA from 1 species
AUUGAACGCUGGCGGCAGGCCUAACACAUGCAAGUCGAACGAGUGGCGGACGGGUGAGUAAUGUCUGGGAAACUGCCUGAUGGAGGGGGAUAACUACUGGAAACGGUAGCUAAUACCGCAUACCCUCAGAUGUUCCCAGAUGGGAUUUGCUUGUUGGUGGGUUAACGGCUCACAAAGGCGACGAUCCCUAGCUGGUCUGAGAGGAUGACCAGCAACACUGGAACGGAGACACGGUCCAGACUCCUACGGGAGGCAGCAGUGGGGAAUAUUGGGAAAUGGGCGCAAGCCUGAUGCAGCCCGGCCGCGUGUAUGAAGAAGGCUUUCGGGUUGUAAAGUACGUUCAGCGGGGAGGCGUUACCCGCAGAAGAAGCACCGGCUAACUCCGUGCCAGCAGCCGCGGUAAUUC